AGAGUUUGAUCCUGGCUCAGAACGAACGCUGGCGGCGUGGAUUAGGCAUGCAAGUCGAACGCGAACGUCACCUUCGGGUGGCUAGUAGAGUGGCGAACGGGUGAGUAACGCGUGAGAAACCUGCCUAGAAGUGGGGGAUAACACUCCCAACGGGGUGCUAAUACCGCAUGUGAUGUGAGUGUCUCCUGGCACACACAGGAAAGAUGGCCUCUGCUUGCAAGCUAUCGCUUCUAGAUGGUCUCGCGUCCGAUUAGCUUGUUGGUGAGGUAACGGCCCACCAAGGCGACGAUCGGUAGCUGGUCUGAGAGGAUGGUCAGCCACACUGGGACUGAGAUACGGCCCAGACUCCUACGGGAGGCAGCAGUCGAGAGGCUUUGUCGAUGGGGGAAACCCUGAACAAGCGACGCCGCGUGGGGGAUGACGGCCUUUGGGUUGUAAACCCCUUUCAGCAGGGACGAAUGUUAUGUGGGUGAAUAAUCCACGUAGUUGACGGUACCCGCAGAAGAAGCUCCGGCUAACUCCGUGCCAGCAGCCGCGGUAAUACGGGGGGAGCGAGCGUUGUUCGGAAUCACUGGGCGUAAAGGGCGUGUAGGCGGUUCGGUAAGUGAGAUGUGAAAGCCCCCGGCUCACCCGGGGAUGUGCAUUUCAUACUGCCGGACUUGAGUGCGGAAGAGGAUGGGGGAAUUCCUGGUGUAGCGGUGAAAUGCGUAGAUAUCAGGAGGAACACCGGUGGCGAAGGCGCCCAUCUGGUCCGUUACUGACGCUGAUGCGCGAAAGCUAGGGGAGCGAACGGGAUUAGAUACCCCGGUAGUCCUAGCCGUAAACGGUGGGCACUAGGUGUUGGAGGCAUCGACCCUUCCAGUGCCGCAGCUAACGCAUUAAGUGCCCCGCCUGGGGAGUACGGUCGCAAGACUGAAACUCAAAGGAAUUGACGGGGGCCCGCACAAGCGGUGGAGCAUGUGGUUCAAUUCGACGCAACGCGAAGAACCUUACCCAGGCUUGACAUGCACUGGACCGGUGUAGAAACACACCUUCCCUUCGGGGCUAGUGCACAGGUGCUGCAUGGCUGUCGUCAGCUCGUGUCGUGAGAUGUUGGGUUAAGUCCCGCAACGAGCGCAACCCUUGCCCUUAGUUGCUAACGAAUAAAGUCGAGCACUCUAGAGGGACUGCCGGCUAAGCCGGAGGAAGGUGGGGACGACGUCAAGUCCCCAUGGCCCUUACGCCUGGGGCUACACACGUGCUACAAUGACCGACACAGAGGGCUGCGAUACCGCGAGGUGGAGCCAAUCCCAAAAAGUCGGCCUCAGUUCGGAUUGCAGUCUGCAACUCGACUGCAUGAAGGUGGAAUCGCUAGUAAUCGCUGAUCAGCAGGCAGCGGUGAAUACGUUCCCGGGCCUUGUACACACCGCCCGUCAAGCCACGAAAGUUGGCAGUACCCGAAGUCGCCGUGGUAACCCGCAAGGGAGCUAGGCGCCUAAGGUAAGGCUAGCGAUUGGGGCUAAGUCGAAACAAGGUA
rnacentral:rRNA from 1 species